UUCAUUUUGGAACUUUGUAUAAUCUUUAGCUAUCAUUAGUUUCUGUCAACCACAGAAAUUUAAAAGCCUAACUGAAACAUCCUAAACAAUAUCCCUAGGCCGUUUUCCUCUAGAUUUUACAUUUAAUGCAAAGAGUAACUAAAAUGUGUGGAAUAUGACAAAGAUACCAAAAAGCAGCUGUGAAUGUUUAACAUCUCAGGACAUUUCCUCCCAUCACCUUUCUCCUCCUGUUCCACAAAGCCAAGCAGUGUGGGGGUACCACAGUUCAUGGGGAAACUCACAUUACUUUCACUGAACCUCCUGCUAUACCAGAUACAAAUCCAGAACUGAACAGCUUGUUACACAAUCACAGUGAUACUACAAAAAUAAUGCUAAACUAGCACGGAAGUCCUUGGCUUAAGCUGGAAACUGCUUUUAAUGCUUGAUUAUCACAUGAUGUCAGAGAUACUCAUAACUAAAACAUUCUAACACCACCACACUACCAGGAACCUGGGGACAUGAUGCCAUAAACACUGGGAGAAGGAACCAGGCUCCAGAGCAGCACUGCUGCCUGCUCAGCCCUGCUCUGUGCAAAAUCCACAGAGAGCUCUGCUGCACACCUCAGCCAGGCCCCUCUUGCUUUUCUCCAGACACUCCUCCUGCUCCGGUCAAGGAUCCAGCAGCAGCAGGGCAAAGGUGCUCACACCAUCUACACUCAAAUGGAUUCCAGCUCCCUGCAGGUCUCCCUGACUGCACAGGACAUGCUGGGCUCGGCACAGGAAGAGCCAGCGCCUCGAGAUUAGUCCUUGUGACAGCAGCUCUCUUCCUCUCCUGCAGAGAAAGAGGAAAGAGUCCCACAGCUGAACUGCUGCCACAAGAGGCCCAGGGGUCCCAGCAGUGUUUCUACAAGGGCUGCAGGAGACCCCCACAGCCGAGGACUCCAACAGCCAAGGCAGAGGUGGCACAUUCCCAUGCUGGGAUCAGAGCCAGAGCUUCGCUGCACCAGCUGUGCAGGCACCACGACACCUGGAACAGAGCUGGAUCUCAGCAAUGACUACAUGAACUCAUGUGCCACAAACACUUGAAGAAUAAAAAAUUAGGCUUA